UACGUAGGGGGCUAGCGUUGUCCGGAAUCAUUGGGCGUAAAGAGCGUGUAGGCGGCCCGGUAAGUCCGCUGUGAAAGUCGGGGGCUCAACCCUCGAAUGCCGGUGGAUACUGUCGAGCUUGAGUCCGGAAGAGGCGAGUGGAAUUCCUGGUGUAGCGGUGAAAUGCGCAGAUAUCAGGAGGAACACCAAUGGCGAAGGCAGCUCGCUGGGACGUGACUGACGCUGAGACGCGAAAGCGUGGGGAGCAAACAGG
rnacentral:rRNA from 1 species